GGCGAACGAACUCUCCCACCCCUCCGGGGCCCCGCGGGCGCGCUGCUUCCCAGAAAAUACGGUAAAAAGCCUUCAGCCUAAAAAUGCUGAAAGUUUUCCUGGACCAGCUGAACACUUUCUUCUCCUGUAAUCUGUCGUGACUGUCAGAGUGCCAAGAGACAUGCCAGACCCUGGGCCACAAUAGUGCUACAGAAUGCCCAGAGAGGAAAGCUGGCACAAGGUGCAACUGCUCUGCACUGGACGCUGUGCAAGCAUACAAAUAACCACAGUCCCUGUGGCAGCAGAUCCAACAGCUCAGCACAGAUCUAGCCCCAGGGGCUCAUCCUGGGCAGGGAGUGCAACCCUCAAGCUCCAACACCAUCCUGAGCUGACAGCUGCCCUCCUCCCCCCCAGCCACCUCCAAGCCAUUCACGGAGCGAUCCUCCAAAUGAUUUUUCUGGAAAACCAAUUAAAGGAGGAGUUACAUCACACAGCAGCCAGCCCAACCGGCACUGCGUUGUGCUGAUGAGCCCUGCCUGUAUU